GAGAAUUGUAUUAUAUGUAAUCCACGAAAAGAUACAACCCUCAGCAGAAAAUAACAUGGGAAUCUACAAAGAAAUGGAGAUACCACAUUGGUUGUUGCACUUGGACCAGUUAUGUGAACUGUAAAAUAUUUAGACAAUUAAAAAUAAUACUGUACAGUGACUACAAAUAAGUUAACCCACACCAAUCGAUCAACCACGUUUUUAAACCUCAUUGGCUAAAGGCGUUAAACCAUGUUGUCGACGGUUGAAUCAUUUUUGAAUACUGAUGAUUACAGAAAACUGCGGAAGUAUAAUUGAGAUAAUAAUAAAUUGAAAUGCUGCUCA